ACUCCGCUUCAGGAGGUCACUCGUUCACAGCUGCUCCUCCCAUUCUAUUUUUCCCCCUUCCAGCAGAACUGCUGCUUGUACACACUGACUGAAAAGGACUCAAUUUACUGCAACUGCUACCUGGUUUUACUUACAACUUUCUUUAAAGAGGGACAUACCUUCCAGCUAUCUUGCAAAGAAAGGUAUACAGCUUUUAGGACAUCCCAUCAUCUGGUGUGGGGAACUAUGGAACUGAAGCUAGGUGUGCUGCAAAAGCCUGGGCAGUGAUAAAGAGAUUAGAUAGUCAUAGACUGAAACGGAGGUCAAGGAAUGAUGAAUCAAGCGGAAGGACAUCUACAACUAAAUUGAGGACUGACUUGAAAGUGCUUCUCAGAAGGUAUAUGGAUUAAAUACUUCCUGCCUGGUAGGUCCCAAUUCUAGUUUUUGCUCUUGUUGUUUGGCAAAGCCGUCCUUUCUCCCCAGGCUCAAUCACAGAGCAAUCGGGUCAGUGGGUUUAUUUGCAGAGACCCAUAUUCACCAUAUUGCAGAGCAGUUAUGGACAUGGUGUUAUGGACUGCACCAGCUGGUGCACAGUUCACUAAGGACUAGUCACCACUAUGCAGUUGGUUUGGU